AGAGAGAAAGGCAAAAGAAAGACAGGGGCGUUAACCAGAGAUUAUCUCCGGUUGGCUACCCUGUACCUGCGGAGGGGUAAAGGGAUACGAUAAGAGAGAGAGAGG
rnacentral:lncRNA from 1 species